AUGCCUUGCGUGUUGCACUUCCAUGCAUUCAUACAUAUACAUUGUCGCAUCUCAUUUAGGUACGAUAGAUGAAUCAUAUGAAGGACGUGCUACUGGAGCCGAACCCGAAGACGAUGUUGGUGGACAUAUCCCGAAGACGGAUGGAUGGAACCCGAUGUGCAUGACCAAAGGAAGAUGCUCGCCAAGCGAGUAUCAUCUAACUAACACUGACUUAGUGUUAAUCCCAGGCAAGCCCCGGUAUAGAAGCUAACCAGGAUUCGCAUCAGUGGGCUUGAUGUGAUGUCCUCACGUCUCCGUAGUAAUCAUUUUAUUUCAAUUUAUUUCAGUUGGUUUCUAAUGAAAAUCUUCCUCAGGUUAGACUCUCUCUACCGCUGAUAUUAUCUAUUAUGUGAACUUUAAUUUGUAAAAGUCAUUUGAUAAAUACCUUAAUAUUGUUUACUAUUUUGUGAAAUUA